CAGCCGCCGCGGGAAUACGAAGGGUGCGAGCGUUACUCGGAAUUACUGGGCGUAAAGCGUGCGUAGGUGGUGGUUUAAGUCCGUUGUGAAAUCCCCGAGCUUAACUUGGGAACUGCAUUUGAAACUGGCAAGCUAGAGUCUUGUAGAGGGGGGUAGAAUUCCAGGUGUAGCGGUGAAAUGCGUAGAGAUCUGGAGGAAUACCGGUGGCGAAGGCGGCCCCCUGGACAAAGACUGACGCUCAGGUGCGAAAGCGUGGGGAGCAAACAGGAUUAGAUACCCCAGUAGUCCCUGUCUCUUAUAC
rnacentral:rRNA from 1 species